CUGACCGAGCAACGCCGCGUUGAGUGAAGAAGGUUUUCGGAUCGUAAAGCUCUGUUGUAAGUCAAGAACGUGUGUGAGAGUGGAAAGUUCACACAGUGACGGUAGCUUACCAGAAAGGGACGGCUAACUACGUGCCAGCAGCCGCGGUAAUACGUAGGUCCCGAGCGUUGUCCGGAUUUAUUGGGCGUAAAGGGAGCGCAGGCGGUCAGGAAAGUCUGGAGUAAAAGGCUAUGGCUCAACCAUAGUGUGCUCUGGAAACUGUCUGACUUGAGUGCAGAAGGGGAGAGUGGAAUUCCAUGUGUAGCGGUGAAAUGCGUAGAUAUAUGGAGGAACACCAGUGGCGAAAGCGGCUCUCUGGUCUGUCACUGACGCUGAGGCUCGAAAGCGUGGGUAGCGAACAGGAUUAGAUACCCUGGUAGUCCACGCCGUAAACGAUGAGUGCUAGGUGUUAGGCCCUUUCCGGGGCUUAGUGCCGGAGCUAACGCAAUAAGCACUCCGCCUGGGGAGUACGACCGCAAGGUUGAAACUCAAAGGAAUUGACGGGGGCCCGCACAAGCGGUGGAGCAUGUGGUUUAAUUCGAAGCAACGCGAAGAACCUUACCAGGUCUUGACAUCCCGAUGCUAUUCUUAGAGAUAGGAAGUUACUUCGGUACAUCGGAGACAGGUGGUGCAUGGGUUGUCGUCAGCUCGUGUCGUGAGAUGUUGG
rnacentral:rRNA from 1 species